rnacentral:rRNA from 1 species
UACGUAGGGAGCGAGCGUUGUCCGGAAUUACUGGGCGUAAAGGGCGCGUAGGCGGGGAUUUAAGUAAGGUGUGAAAACUGAGGGCUUAACCUUCAGAUUGCACUUUAAACUGGAUCUCUUGAGGGCAGGAGAGGAAAGUGGAAUUCCUAGUGUAGCGGUGAAAUGCGUAGAUAUUAGGAGGAACACCAGUGGCGAAGGCGACUUUCUGGACUGUACCUGACGCUGAGGCGCGAAAGCGUGGGUAGCGAACAGG